UCCUAACAUGUGAAAUAAGACCUAGAUAACCAGGUGAGUUCCUAACUAGUCAAUUAAGACCUAGAUAACCAGGUGAGUUCCUAACUAGUCAAUUAAGACCUAGAUAACCAGGUGAGUUCCUAACAUGUGAAAUAAGACCUAGACAACCAGGUGAGUUCCUAACUAGUCAAUUAAGACCUAGAUAACCAGGUGAGUUCCUAACUAGUCAAUUAAGACCUAGACAACCAGGUGAGUUCCUAACAUGUGAAAUAAGACCUAGACAACCAGGUGAGUUCCUAACUAGUCAAUUAAGACCUAGAUAACCAGGUGAGUUCCUAACUAGUCAAUUAAGACCUAGAUAACCAGGUGAGUUCCUAACUAGUCAAUUAAGACCUAGAUAACCAGGUGAGUUCCUAACUAGUCAAUUAAGACCUAGAUAACCAGGUGAGUUCCUAACUAGUCAAUUAAGACCUAGAUAACCAGGUGAGUUCCUAACAUGUGAAAUAAGACCUAGAUAACCAGGUGAGUUCCUAACUAGUCAAUUAAGACCUAGAUAACCAGGUGAGUUCCUAACUAGUCAAUUAAGACCUAGAUAACCAGGUGAGUUCCUAACAUGUGAAAUAAGACCUAGACAACCAGGUGAGUUCCUAACUAGUCAAUUAAGACCUAGAUAACCAGGUGAGUUCCUAACUAGUCAAUUAAGACCUAGAUAACCAGGUGAGUUCCUAACUAGUCAAUUAAGACCUAGAUAACCAGGUGAGUUCCUAACUAGUCAAUUAAGACCUAGAUAACCAGGUGAGUUCCUAACAUGUGAAAUAAGACCUAGAUAACCAGGUGAGUUCCUAACUAGUCAAUUAAGACCUAGAUAACCAGGUGAGUUCCUAACAUGUGAAAUAAGACCUAGACAACCAGGUGAGUUCCUAACUAGUCAAUUAAGACCUAGAUAACCAGGUGAGUUCCUAACA